AUUGAACGCUGGCGGCAGGCCUAACACAUGCAAGUCGAGCGGAUGAAGGGAGCUUGCUCCUGGAUUCAGCGGCGGACGGGUGAGUAAUGCCUAGGAAUCUGCCUGGUAGUGGGGGAUAACGUCCGGAAACGGGCGCUAAUACCGCAUACGUCCUGAGGGAGAAAGUGGGGGAUCUUCGGACCUCACGCUAUCAGAUGAGCCUAGGUCGGAUUAGCUAGUUGGUGGGGUAAAGGCCUACCAAGGCGACGAUCCGUAACUGGUCUGAGAGGAUGAUCAGUCACACUGGAACUGAGACACGGUCCAGACUCCUACGGGAGGCAGCAGUGGGGAAUAUUGGACAAUAGGGCGAAAGCCUGAUCCAGCCAUGCCGCGUGUGUGAAGAAGG
rnacentral:rRNA from 1 species